rnacentral:rRNA from 1 species
AACGAACGCUGGCGGCGUGCCUAACACAUGCAAGUCGAGCGCGAAUGGAGCAAUCCUAGUAGAGCGGCGCACGGGUGCGUAACACGUGGGUAAUCUGCCGAGAAGACCGGAAUAACCUGCCGAAAGGCAAGCUAAUGCCGGAUAAGCCUACAGACUCUUCGGAGUCCGAAGGAAAAGGUGGCCUCUGUAUACAAGCUAUCACUUCUCGAUGAGCCCGCGGCCCAUCAGCUAGUUGGCGGGGUAACGGCCCACCAAGGCAACGACGGGUAGCUGGUCU